GACGAACGCUGGCGGCGUGCUUAACACAUGCAAGUCGAACGAUGAAGCCGGAGCUUGCUCUGGUGAAUUAGUGGCGAACGGGUGAGUAACACGUGAGUAACCUGCCCUUGACUCUGGAAUAACUGCUAGAAAUGGUAGCUAAUACCGGAUACGACCCUCGGAGGCAUCUUCAGGGGGUGGAAAGAAUUUCGGUCAAGGAUGGACUCGCGGCCUAUCAGCUAGUUGGUGAGGUAACGGCUCACCAAGGCGACGACGGGUAGCCGGCCUGAGAGGGUGACCGGCCACACUGGGACUGAGACACGGCCCAGACUCCUACGGGAGGCAGCAGUGGGGAAUAUUGCACAAUGGGCGCAAGCCUGAUGCAGCAACGCCGCGUGAGGGAUGACGGCCUUCGGGUUGUAAACCUCUUUUAGUAGGGAAGAAGCGAAAGUGACGGUACCUGCAGAAAAAGCACCGGCUAACUACGUGCCAGCCGCCGCCGUAA
rnacentral:rRNA from 1 species